AUAUAUAUAUANAUAUAUAUAGUUGAGCUAGGAUACUUUUACAAGUAUCACCUCCAAGGUGCUAUUAGGUUUUUAGCCAUUAGAUCUACUUCUUAAUUACUAAUAGUCCUUGGAUUAAACACUAUUUCACCUGCCACCAUCUAUCACCACUUAUCACCAUCAUCUCAACCUUACAUCUCUCCAUCCAAGGACUAAAAAUACUAAAGCACCAUCCAGGUGAUACUUGUAAAAGUAUCCUAGCUCAACUAUAUAUAUAUAUAUAUAUAGAGUUGAGCUAGGAUGCUUUUAUCACCUACAUGGUGCUAUUAGGUUUUUAGCCAUUAGAUCUACUUCUUAAUUACUAAUAGUCCUUGGAUUAAACACUAUUUCACCUGCCACCAUCUAUCACCACUUAUCACCAUCAUCUCAACCUUACAUCUCUCCAUCCAAGGACUAAAAAUACUAAAGCACCAUCCAGGUGAUACUUGUAAAAGUAUCCUAGCUCAACUAUAUAUAUAUAUAUAUAUAGAGUUGAGCUAGGAUGCUUUUAUCACCUACAUGGUGCUAUUAGGUUUUUAGCCAUUAGAUCUACUUCUUAAUUACUAAUAGUCCUUGGAUUAAACACUAUUUCACCUGCCACCAUCUAUCACCACUUAUCACCAUCAUCUCAACCUUACAUCUCUCCAUCCAAGGACUAAAAAUACUAAAGCACCAUCCAGGUGAUACUUGUAAAAGUAUCCUAGCUCAACUAUAUAUAUAUAUAUAUAUAGAGUUGAGCUAGGAUGCUUUUAUCACCUACAUGGUGCUAUUAGGUUUUUAGCCAUUAGAUCUACUUCUUAAUUACUAAUAGUCCUUGGAUUAAACACUAUUUCACCUGCCACCAUCUAUCACCACUUAUCACCAUCAUCUCAACCUUACAUCUCUCCAUCCAAGGACUAAAAAUACUAAAGCACCAUCCAGGUGAUACUUGUAAAAGUAUCCUAGCUCAACUAUAUAUAUAUAUAUAUAUAGAGUUGAGCUAGGAUGCUUUUAUCACCUACAUGGUGCUAUUAGGUUUUUAGCCAUUAGAUCUACUUCUUAAUUACUAAUAGUCCUUGGAUUAAACACUAUUUCACCUGCCACCAUCUAUCACCACUUAUCACCAUCAUCUCAACCUUACAUCUCUCCAUCCAAGGACUAAAAAUACUAAAGCACCAUCCAGGUGAUACUUGUAAAAGUAUCCUAGCUCAACUAUAUAUAUAUAUAUAUAUAGAAUUAGGCUACUAUACUAUCUAUAGUACCGGAGCUCCGGUACUAUAGAUAGUAUAGUAGCCUAAUUCUAUAUAUAUAUAUAUAUAUAGAAUUAGGCUACUAUACUAUCUAUAGUACCGGAGCUCCGGUACUAUAGAUAGUAUAGUAGCCUAAUUCUAUAUAUAUAUAUAUAUAUAGUUGAGCUAGGAUACUUUUACAAGUAUCACCUCCAAGGUGCUAUUAGGUUUUUAGCCAUUAGAUCUACUUCUUAAUUACUAAUAGUCCUUGGAUUAAACACUAUUUCACCUGCCACCAUCUAUCACCACUUAUCACCAUCAUCUCAACCUUACAUCUCUCCAUCCAAGGACUAAAAAUACUAAAGCACCAUCCAGGUGAUACUUGUAAAAGUAUUCUAGCUCCUAUAUAUAU
rnacentral:lncRNA from 1 species